rnacentral:misc_RNA from 1 species
GUCGCCACCAACAAUGGGGCCGCACCUCCUUUCCACCACAAACUCUUUCUCCUCUGCCUCUUCAUCCUUCGUCGCUACCUACCAAUCCAGCUUCCUUCCCACCUUACUUUCUCCGUCCUCUCCGGCGAGCUUACAGUCUAUCUCGGCGGUGCAAACUGAAGAGAAGCCAGAGACCCAAGCAAAACCUAAGAAAACAACCCUAACCGGCCCAAAACUGUACAAGAAAAAUGCUCUGAAAACCAGCCGCUCACUGCCACCAGCAUCCCUCCCAGUCACCAUCUGCAACGCACUGGAUGACCUAAUCAACAACUUCAUCGACCCGCCCAUUCUCCGUCCCUCCGUCGACCCUCGUCACAUUCUCUCCGACAACUUCUCCCCCGUCACCGAGCUCCCACCGACCCCUUGCCCGGUCGUCCGUGGUAGCAUCCCACCCUGCCUCCGCGGCGGAGCAUACAUCCGCAACGGUCCAAACCCCCAGCACCUCCCACGCGGCCCCCACCAUCUCUUCGACGGCGACGGCAUGCUCCACUCCCUCCUACUCCCAACCACCGGCACCGCCCCCGCCACCCUCUGCUCACGCCAUGUGCACACAUACAAGUAUCUCCUGGAGCGUGACGCCGGCGCGCCGGUCCUCCCCAACGUCUUCUCCGGCUUCCACGGCACCGCAGGCAUCGCCCGUGGUGCCAUCACCGUCAUCCGUGUUCUCACUGGACAGCUGAACCCACUGGAGGGUGUCGGGCUAGCCAACACUAGCCUGUCUUUCUUCGGCGGCCGCCUCUUCGCCCUCGGUGAGUCCGACCUCCCAUAUUCCGUCCACUUGUCCACCAACAAUGGUGAUAUCUCGACUCUCGGCCGUCAUGACUUUGACAAAAAAUUGGUGAUGGGGAUGACGGCUCACCCGAAGAAAGACCCCGUCACCGGGGAGUUGUUUGCUUUCCGUUACGGCCCGGUGCCGCCGUUUGUCACCCUCUUCCGGUUCGACAAGGAGGGUAACAAGGUCGGCCCCGACGUGCCAAUUUUCAGCAUGAGAGACCCGUCCUUCCUCCACGACUUCGCCAUUACUGAGCAUUACACUGUGCUCCCUGAUAUACAGAUGGUAAUGAAGCCGAUGGAAAUGGUGAUUGGUGGUGGAUCUCCAGUUGGGUCGGAUCGGGCAAAGGUGCCGCGCCUCGGCGUGCUGCCGAGAUAUGCAACCUCAGAGGCAGAUAUCCGGUGGUUUGAAGUGCCAGGGUUCAACAUAAUGCAUGCACUGAAUGCUUGGGAGGAGGAUGGUGGGUCGACGAUUGUGUUAGUGGCUCCGAACGUGUUGUCAAUUGAGCAUGCGCUAGAGAGGCUUGAGCUGGUGCAUAGCAGUGUGGAGAUGGUGAGGAUAGAUUUGAGGAGCGGAGCGGUGUCGAGGACGCCGUUGUCGGCGGAUAACCUUGAUUUUGGGGUUAUUCAUCCUGGGUAUGUUGGGAGGCGGAACAGGUAUGGUUAUCUUGGGGUGGGGGAUCCCAUGCCGAAGAUUUGUGGUGUGGUGAAGCUGGAUUUUGAGCAGGCCGGGCACGGGGAUUGUGUGGUGGCGCGGCGGGAGUUCGGGCCUGGGUGUUUCGGUGGAGAGCCGUUCUUUGUGCCGGAGGACGACUCGGAGGGGGAGGAGGACAAAGGGUAUGUGGUGUCAUAUGUGCACGACGAAGGGAGAGGGGAAUCUAAGUUUGUGGUGAUGGAUGCACAGUCGCCGGAGUUGGAGAUAGUGACGGAGGUGCUGCUGCCUCGCCGGGUGCCGUAUGGUUUUCACGGCCUCUUCGUCUCCGAGGCUGAGCUUAGGAGCCAGCGUGCACUCCACUGAAGAAGUUGGUACAAUACACGGAGUUACAUUCAAAUUCAGAUAUAGAAAAAAAAAAAGUAAAAUAAGGGUGAAUGUAUGUACAUAUAACACAUAUAUGUGUUAAAGAA